GUUGGUGGAGUGAUUUGUCUGGUUAAUUCCGUUAACGAACGAGACCUCGACCUACUAACUAGUAACACGAAUUCUGAAUUCGUUGUAACUUCUUAGAGGGACUAUUGGUGGCUAACCAAUGGAAGUUCGAGGCAAUAACAGGUCU
rnacentral:rRNA from 1 species